GCGCCACCGGAAAAAGAAAUUCCCGGGCCCUGGCUUCUUGGCCUGAUGGUGAGGCACCAGAGGCAGUCCUAGCCUCGAAGCCUCCAGCCUGCUGGAUGCCUCCAUCCCCGGCUAUGCUGUGGCUCUCCUCAUUCUAGGCCUCCUGCUCGUCACAUUCACCCUUGUCCUGGUGCUAAAGUGGAGGGCCUCCCAUGGGGUGUUCAGCCUGGGUGUGUAGAAGCACAUAGUGUGGUACAGAGGACCCUCUCCAGACAGGUGACCCCUCACGCUGCUGCUCCCUCUGCUGAAACCCAAACUGCAAACCUCUCCUCUCCCUGCCUUCACCUUGCCCCACGGCUUCCACAGACAGUGCCUCAACCCCGAGGAAUGAAUCCGAAGUUCCAACACCACUGACUUUCCCAGGAACUCAGAGCCAGAGAGGGCCAAGGACCAGCUCGAGGACACACAGCCAGGGCUUCUUCCCUCCGAAACCCCCAAGGACUGGACUUGCAGGGCUGGGACAGAGGUGGGGUGGUGGAAAGCAAUGCCUUGUCAACCCACGUUGGGGAGCCCCACUCCCAUCCCCAAGGUGCAUAAAGUUGAGGAACACCCCUGC
rnacentral:lncRNA from 1 species